AAGUUUGUUUUAUAUUAAGUAGAUUCCUUGUUUUACAGUGAAUUGCUGAUAAAGAUUUAAAUUUUUUAUUUAAAUGUAUUUAUCACCUGGAUCUUGGCUUGUGAAUUUCAGUAAUUAUACAAGAUAUUAAACUACAUUACUCCUGCAAGUUAUAGGGAUGCCUGGCUUACUUGGUGGGUGGAGCAUGCGACUCUCGAUCUUGGGGUGGUGAGUUCAAACCCCGUGUUGGGCAUAGAGCCUACUUAAGUUAAAAAAAAAAUAAAUUAAAGGUUCUAAACUACUAACCCUGUAUUACAAUCAUGGACACCAAUUUUGUAUUGAGAUCAGCAGCUAGCUUUCUCUGACAAUGCCAUUUAUACUUAGGUCAUUUUAUCACUUUAAAGUAUAUGUGUUCGCAGCAUUGUGCAUGCAAGUGAUGUCUGAUGUGGGGAGAGUCAUACUAUGACAUCAUUUUAUGUACCUCUAUAGGCCAGGAAACUCACAGAAGCUAAGGACCCGGUAUAAAGUACUCCUAGUGUGAGAACCAGUAUUCUCUGGCCCCGCACUCAGCCUUUCUGCUGGUACAGCAUACCAAGCCUCAUAAACCCAACAUAGUCAGCUAGCACUGCUGGGUCCCUGGCUUUCCCUCUCCAGUGUUUCAUUCCUUUAAAAUGACCACACUUCUGAUUACAUUAGUUUUUGCUAAAAUAUCCUCAGGAAAAUAGAAUCAUGAAAUUAUUGGCUAUGGAGUUCAGACUUAUUUAUAUGUCCUCAAUGCUGCUUCUAUAUUUUAAUGAUUUAACUAAUAAACCACUGUGAAAAGGCAUGCAUGAAUAAUGGACUAAAUAGUAGUUCUAAAAGCUUACUGAUACAGUCUCUACACAAUGCUUUCUGAGUCAGCUUUUCCAGAGACCCCCGCUUUGCUCUUUUUUUAAAAAAAAAAUUUUUUUUAAUCUUUAUUUUUGAGAGACAGGCAGAGUGUGAGCAGGGGAGGAGCAGAGAGAGAGGGAGACACAGAAUCCGAAGCAGGCUCCAGGCCCUGAGCUGUCAGCACAGAGCCCGACGCAGGGCUCGAACUCACGAACCGUGAGAUCAUGACCUGAGCCGAAGUCAGACGCUCAACCGAGCCACCCAGGCACCCCCCCACUUUGCUCUUUAUCACCAUAUAACUAAAUAUUAUGUAUGUGAUGUUGUCUCUUAAUUCAUUCCCUUUGUCUGUUUUCAUUAAGGAAAUGAGCAUCUUAGUUCUUCCAUCCAGGACUGCCCUGCCACCUGCAUUAUUUCCUCCACAGUCGUCACAGUGUGGCUAUUGCAGAGUUUUUGGUUAUAUGCGUAUUCAGUAUUUUCAUUGAUGUCUGUGUAAAUACUGUUGACUGCUGAACCACAAGAUAUACCACUUUUUUUAUUUUCCUGGGGCAGCUUUCUUCCUUUUUCUUGACUUGGUUUUCUUCAACACUUGAAGCCUUCUCACACUUUCCAACAACUGUCAAGUGCCUUUAUCUGUUCUUCUGCAUGAGGACCCUGUCCAGAUAAUCUUGUUAUCUAGAUGAUCUCUCCAUUAGUUCCUGACCCUUUCUGCUUCGUUUUGAGUCCACGUCUGCUCCCUGAUAGAACUCUUAUGUUUAGAUCCCAUGUAUUCAGCUGUCUUGAUGGAACACCUAUUUCAAAAUGAAUUUAUUCUAUUCUUGAAAGUUUGCCUGGAUAGUUAAACCAAAAACCCUUCCACUUGGUAUUUUUCCUGGGCAUAAUAUUCUGGACUAAAAAUAAUUUUCACGAGAAUUUAUAAGGGCUCCAUUUCUAGAUUUAAAGUCAGCGGCUAUUCUGUUUCCUAGUCCUUACCCCAUGACCUACUAUUUUCUCCCAGUGGAAUAUUUUAGUUCUUUACCUCUGGUAUUGCCAGACUUCACCGAGGUGGCCGAUAAUUUGUGCACUCGCUGCUGGCCCAUUCUGGCUAGAAGCUCAUCUUUGUCAGUCCUGGGAAACUUUUUUUUCUCUCUCUGUCUUUCUUUGGAGCUCCCAGGCUCAUAAUCUGAUCUCAGUAUUUUCCCCUCUAAUUUCUAGCUCUAGUUUUCCCACCUACUUUCAGAAAUAUUUUUCAACCUCUUUGAUGAAACUUCAGCUGCUGGUUUUAAUCUCUGAAAGCUUUUUCCCCCCGCCAUUCUCUGGAACUAUGUACGUUUGCAGAUGCGUCUUCUCGUCUCUCGAAAGACAUGAAUGGUAAGUUAUUUUCUGUUUGCUGGAGAACGCUUUUAUUUCCUCUGAGCGCCUUUUUCCUCUUUUCGUCUCUGUCAUGACUUCCUUCAAAUGUCAGGAAAUUCUUACUCUGGAUAUUUAAAAAGUUAAGAAACAAGCUCAUUGGAAUCUCUGUGGGGAGACAGCCUAUCAACAUGCAGGCCAGCUGACCUCACCAGGGGAUCUUCUCGGUGGGUUCUUUUUCUUCAUAGAGGGAGCCUCUGAUCUCUGCUGGAAAAACAGGGUGGGGAUUCAUGAAUGCACCCGUGUUCUGGAACAGAAUGGGGUUGGAGAGAGGAACUCAUCAGCCGGUCAGCAUUCAGUCUCCAUCUUCACCCGCAGUCCUCUGUGCUUCUUGUUCUCCUGUCCCGGCUCUGAUUUAGCUUCUCCAGAGACUACACAUACCCUCUCCUCCCUUCUCUCUCUCAGGCCAAGGGUGGGGGGCAGAAGGAGUCAUCUCUGCGUCAGUUCGCCGGAAAAUAAUCUGAGAGUCCCCUCUUUUCUGUACCCCACAUUUUAAAACAACCCCCACUCAGUCCCCUGCCUUAUCCCAGCCUCAGUACCUGGGAUCUUCAGUUCUUAGAACUUCCUUGGGUGAAUUGGUUUGCUUGUCUUCAGUAUCUCUCUCUGCAGGCACAUGGCACUGAAGUCACUUUGCACAGAAACAGGUCAUUUAUAAUUUUAACAUAUACUUUCUGCUUUAUAGUUUGUGACUACGGGUUAGAAAUAUCUCCUGGUUUCAUCAAAAAAUUUGUGGGGUUUUUUUCCCUAUUUUGAAACGAUUUUUAAGAGAAGGUAGAAGACCUUUAUUUCACUAACUUGAACUGUCUGAGAGAUUUCAAAAUGACCUUGAAUUUAUAAAGAUUUGGCAUUAAGUUAAUGACAAGAUUUUUUCCUCCUCCAUUAACUCAGAACUAAUGUUAGUCAUUUAAUCAAAGUCAGUAUUUCUGUUCUUGUUCUGAAAUUUAGUUUAUUGUAGUCUUAAUCUGAGGCUCUGAGGUAUGGUAAUUUAAUCUGACUAUACUACCUGUGACAUAAAGUCUUUGAUUUCUAAGGAUUAAAUUAUAACAUUUUCCCCCAAGAAAAUGGGGAAGUUUCAGAUUUGACUCCAGAAUAUGCAGCUGCUCUCCCUUAAAUGGGAAACCUUAUUAAAGAUAUAAUCGACUUUGAUUUUUUUUUAAUUUGCAUCCAAUAAUUGGUUUUGAUUGAAAAAUAUUUAUUCUGGUAGUAUAUAUUUCUGUAUGUAGAUCACUUUUUACAAGCAUGGAAUUAAUGCAGGAAAAGACUAAGAUAUGAUCUCAUGAAAUUAAAACUAUGUAAAUAAUUUCAUAACUGGAAGUUUUAAAUUUAGUACCCAUAUCAAACAUAUUUAGGAAAUAUUCAUAUUGAUCAACUGUUGGCUGAAAAUAAGAAUUUUGGUUUUUUUCUAGAGGAUAUCAUUAAAAGGCUGAUAUUUAUGGCAAACUACA